AGGAAAACUAGUUAAAUUAGAAUAACGUUGGCUUGUCAGGCCUAUAUUGCCGUGUGGCGUUUUCUUU
rnacentral:tRNA from 1 species